GCACUAAGUAACAUAUGACUGUCAUCUGUUUUCCACUAGACAGAUCCCAACCUGGAAGAGUGACAGAUGGUAUUUCAGAUACAAGUGACUCAAGCAAAGCUUGAUAAACUGGGGGCUGGAAAAAAAUGCACAUUUACACAAAGCCUGGAGUAACUGCAGCACAGGCAGAGAAUAGCACAGGAAAGGCCAGAAGGUUUAUGAGAAAACUCAGGUGAAUUCGAGGAUGGCCUAACUGAAAGAACACCACAUAAUUCCAGACUCACGAACUCAGUCCAGCGAGGCUCAAGGGGAGUUAUAAAGUCCUCUGGAACUCGGUUCUGGGCUCUCAGACCUUGCAGGAGAGGACAGCAAAGGAAGGUUUUCAUCUGCACUGCCAAAACUGAGUGGUGGGCCGGCAGCCAGGUGGUCUUUGCAAGGUGCAAGGAGGCAUGAAUAUCAUGGAAGCCAUGGAGCGCUUUGGGUCCAGGAAGAGCAAGACCAGCAAGAUCACCAUUGCCAAAUGUGGACAACUCCAAUAAAUUUGAUUUGUGUUUCUCUUAAUCACCAGAGCAUUCCUUCUGUAGCUCAGGAGAGCACACUUCCACCCAUGUGUUCAUAAUAUCCUAUAAUUUUCAUGCUCUUGCUGAAGUUUUUGGAGCUUGUUUUUUUAAUU
ensembl:lincRNA